ensembl:snRNA U6 U6 spliceosomal RNA
CUGCUUGCUUAGGCAGCACAUACAGUAAAAUUAGAACAAUACAGAGAACAUUCACAUGGCUCCUGCACAAGAAGGACACACAAAUUCAUAAAGUGUUACAUAUUUUU